GAUGAACGCUGGCGGCGUGCCUAAUACAUGCAAGUCGAGCGAACAGACGAGGAGCUUGCCCCUCUGACGUUAGCGGCGGACGGGUGAGUAACACGUGGAUAACCUACCUAUAAGACUGGGAUAACUUCGGGAAACCGGAGCUAAUACCGGAUAAUAUAUUGAACCGCAUGGUUCAAUAGUGAAAGACGGUUUUGCUGUCACUUAUAGAUGGAUCCGCGCCGCAUUAGCUAGUUGGUAAGGUAACGGCUUACCAAGGCAACGAUGCGUAGCCGACCUGAGAGGGUGAUCGGCCACACUGGAACUGAGACACGGUCCAGACUCCUACGGGAGGCAGCAGUAGGGAAUCUUCCGCAAUGGGCGAAAGCCUGACGGAGCAACGCCGCGUGAGUGAUGAAGGUCUUCGGAUCGUAAAACUCUGUUAUUAGGGAAGAACAAAUGUGUAAGUAACUAUGCACGUCUUGACGGUACCUAAUCAGAAAGCCACGGCUAACUACGUA
rnacentral:rRNA from 1 species